rnacentral:rRNA from 1 species
AGAGUUUGAUCCUGGCUCAGGAUGAACGCUAGCGGCAGGCUUAACACAUGCAAGUCGAGGGGCAGCGCGGGGCGGCAACGUCCUGGCGGCGACCGGCGGAAGGGUGCGUAACGCGUGAGCGACAUGCCCGUUGCCCGGGGACAACCGGUGGAAACGCCGACUAAUCCCCGAUGUGAUACGAUGCCUCAUGGCAUUGUAUUGAAAGUUACGGCGGCGACGGAUUGGCUCGCGUCCGAUUAGCUGGUUGGCGGGGUAACGGCCCACCAAGGCUACGAUCAGUAGGGGUUCUGAGAGGAAGGUCCCCCACAUUGGAACUGAGACACGGUCCAAACUCCUACGGGAGGCAGCAGUGAGGAAUAUUGGUCAAUGGGCGAGAGCCUGAACCAGCCAAGUAGCGUGCAGGAUGACGGCCCUAUGGGUUGUAAACUGCUUUUAUAAGGGAAUAAAGUGAGUCUCGUGAGACUUUUUGCACGUACCUUAUGAAUAAGGACCGGCUAAUUCCGUGCCAGCAGCCGCGGUAAUACGGAAGGUCCGGGCGUUAUCCGGAUUUAUUGGGUUUAAAGGGAGCGUAGGCCGGAGAUUAAGCGUGUUGUGAAAUGUAGACGCUCAACGUCUGCACUGCAGCGCGAACUGGUUUCCUUGAGUACGCACAAAGUGGGCGGAAUUCGUGGUGUAGCGGUGAAAUGCUUAGAUAUCACGAAGAACUCCGAUUGCGAAGGCAGCUCACUGGAGCGCAACUGACGCUGAAGCUCGAAAGUGCGGGUAUCGAACAGGAUUAGAUACCCUGGUAGUCCGCACGGUAAACGAUGGAUGCCCGCUGUUGGUCUGAAUAGGUCAGCGGCCAAGCGAAAGCAUUAAGCAUCCCACCUGGGGAGUACGCCGGCAACGGUGGAACUCAAAGGAAUUGACGGGGGCCCGCACAAGCGGAGGAACAUGUGGUUUAAUUCGAUGAUACGCGAGGAACCUUACCCGGGCUUGAAUUGCAGAGGAAGGAUUUGGAGACAAUGACGCCCUUCGGGGUCUCUGUGAAGGUGCUGCAUGGUUGUCGUCAGCUCGUGCCGUGGGGUGUCGGCUCAAGUGCCAUAACGAGCGCAACCCCUGCCGCCAGUUGCCAUCAGGUCAUGCUGGGCACUCUGGCGGGACUGCCACCGCAAGGUGUGAGGAGGGGGGGGAUGACGUCAAAUCAGCACGGCCCUUACGUCCGGGGCGACACACGUGUUACAAUGGCGGCCACAGAGGGAAGCUACCCGGCGACGGGAUGCGGAUCUCGAAAAGCCGUCCCAGUUCGGACUGGAGUCUGCAACCCGACUCCACGAAGUUGGAUUCGCUAGUAAUCGCGCAUCAGCCAUGGCGCGGUGGAUACGUUCCCGGGCCUUGCACACACCGCCCGUCAAG